AUUGAACGCUGGCGUCAGGCCUAACACAUGCAAGUCGAACGAGUGGCAGACGGGUGAGUAAUGUCUGGGAAACUGCCUGAUGGAGGGGGAUAACUACUGGAAACGGUAGAUAAUACCGCAUACCAUCGGAUGUGCCCAGAUGGGAUUAGCUUGUAGGUGGGGAAAAGGCUCACCUAGGCGACGAUCCCUAGCUGGUCUGAGAGGAUGACCAGCCACACUGGAACGGAGACACGGUCCAGAGUCCUACGGGAGGCAGCAGUGGGGAAUAUUGCACAAUGGGCGCAAGCCUGAUGCAGCCAUGCCGCGUGUAUGAAGAAGGCCUUCGGGUUGUAAAGUUCUUUCAGCGGGGAGGCGUUACCCGCAGAAGAAGCACCGGCUAACUCCGUGCCAGCAGCCGCGGUAAUAC
rnacentral:rRNA from 1 species